rnacentral:rRNA from 1 species
GACGAACCGAGCGAACGUUAUUCGGAAUCACUGGGCUUAAAGGGCGCGUAGGCGGUCGUUCAAGUCGCGUGUGAAAGCCCCCGGCUCAACUGGGGAGGGUCACGCGAUACUGAUCGACUCGAAGGCAGGAGAGGGAAGUGGAAUUCCCGGUGUAGUGGUGAAAUGCGUAGAUAUCGGGAGGAACACCAGUGGCGAAGGCGACUUCCUGGCCUGUUCUUGACGCUGAGGCGCGAAAAGCUAGGGGAGCAAACGGG